UCCGGUUGAUCCUGCCAGAGGUUACUGCUAUCGGUGUUCGCCUAAGCCAUGCGAGUCAUAUGUUCUUCGUGAACAUGGCGUACUGCUCAGUAACACGUGGAUAACCUGCCCUUGGGUCCGGCAUAACCCCGGGAAACUGGGGAUAAUUCCGGAUAACGCACAUAUGCUGGAAUGCUUUAUGCGUAAAAUGGAUUCGUCCGCCCAAGGAUGGGUCUGCGGCCUAUCAGGUAGUAGUGGGUGUAAUGUACCUACUAGCCAACAACGGGUACGGGUUGUGAGAGCAAGAGCCCGGAGAUGGAUUUUGAGACAUGAAUCCAGGCCCUACGGGGCGCAGCAGGCGCGAAAACUUUACAAUGCGGGAAACCGUGAUAAGGGGACACCGAGUGCCAGCAUCAUAUGCUGGCUGUCCGGGUGUGUAAAAUACACCUGUUAGCAAGGGCCGGGCAAGACCGGUGCCAGCCGCCGCGGUAACACCGGCGGCCCGAGUGGUGAUCGUGAUUAUUGGGUCUAAAGGGUCCGUAGCCGGUUUGGUCAGUCCUCCGGGAAAUCUGAUGGCUCAACCAUUAGGCUUUCGGGGGAUACUGCCAGGCUUGGAACCGGGAGAGGUAAGAGGUACUACAGGGGUAGGAGUGAAAUCUUGUAAUCCCUGUGGGACCACCUGUGGCGAAGGCGUCUUACCAGAACGGGUUCGACGGUGAGGGACGAAAGCUGGGGGCACGAACCGGAUUAGAUACCCGGGUAGUCCCAGCCGUAAACGAUGCUCGCUAGGUGUCAGGCAUGGCGCGACCGUGUCUGGUGCCGCAGGGAAGCCGUGAAGCGAGCCACCUGGGAAGUACGGCCGCAAGGCUGAAACUUAAAGGAAUUGGCGGGGGAGCACAACAACGGGUGGAGCCUGCGGUUUAAUUGGACUCAACGCCGGACAACUCACCGGGGACGACAGCAAAAUGUAGGCCAGGCUGAAGACCUUGCCUGAAUCGCUGAGAGGAGGUGCAUGGCCGUCGCCAGUUCGUACUGUGAAGCAUCCUGUUAAGUCAGGCAACGAGCGAGACC
rnacentral:rRNA from 1 species